rnacentral:lncRNA from 1 species
AGGACUAACUGAAAGGCUUUGACAGGAACGCCUCUUUAGUGCUUGAGGCAUCUUUUACUCUGUCUGACCAAUUUUUUAGCUCAAGAUUUUCUUCUCAGUUAAGACAAAAAAAAAAAAUGUCUACCCAAAGACUGUCUGUGCUUUCUCCCCUUCUGUUCUUCUGCUUCUUCAGAGAGAGUUUCUCCAUUUGUGACGGAACAACGUGGACAAAGGUUGGAUGGGAGAUUUUUCCAGAGGAAGUGCACUACCUGAAAGUUAAGGUUCCCCCAUCCAGCUGCCUGCCUUACCCUCUGGACAAACUCUGCUGCAACUUUGCUAACAUGGACCUCUUACAGAGCUCCUUACACCUCACUUACAUCUUAGCGCAAGCUCUCUGCUUAAUCCUGUUUGCUUUAUCUGUGCAUUACCUAUGGAUGAAAUGGACAAGACACCAAAAAAAGCUGAAAAAGCAAGCUUCCUUAGAGAAACAAGCUAACGGCCUAGACCUGAGCCCAUCCAUCCAUGACAUUGAACAAAUCCUCUGCAGACUACUGGCCACAACAUCAAUGAUGACCAAGUUCCUGAAGCACGUGUCUCACCACUCUUCUGUUAAGAAAGCUAAGCAACAACGUAAAUUAAGGAAGAAGAAGAGUAAGGGAGAAGAGGAGCAGAGGAACGCUGCCACCCCGAAGCUCGUGCAGAUGUAGCUUGGUCAAGUGCGGAGAGUGUAAAAGAAAUCUAUUGCAGGGACUGUCUGGGGACACAAAGGUUUCUUUGGGGGCUUGCUUUUUUCUUUCUUUUUUUUUUUGCCACAAUCAUUACAGAAAAAUUCUCAGAUGAGCUCUGGGUUUCCGCUCAACUGAAAAAGAAUCCACUCUUUCUAACGUGGCUCCCAGAAUAAACUGAGAACACCUUAACUGGAACUUCAGGGUGUAAUCUAGUGGAAAGGAAACUAAAACUCAAAGACGCUAAGAAACACACCCAGUAAUGAUGGAUGCAAGAUACCAACCAACACGGGCAGCCUGACUCCUGAGCCCCUCCACAUCUGCUAAGUAUGACAGCAAGCUGCACUUUGGAACAAUCAGCCUAUGAUUUAAAAAAAUUUUCAUCGAACUCUAAUUACCCAACCUUUAUUGUUAACACAGUUAUCAAAAUC